rnacentral:misc_RNA from 1 species
UUCGAAGUAGUUUCUCCUAGUCUCUCAGUGCAACUCACUAUGUUUCGAGGGGCGACGAUGAGCCGUGUGGCUGCGGCAAACCCCGCAACAUGGAUGCAGCGCCGCGCGGCGUCGCUGCGGUCGGAGAAGCCUUGUGCUAGCCUUGCCGACAAGAUUGUGCGUGGGCCGCCAAAGUCGGUGUACUACACGCACCCUAGCUACGUGAUGUCUCGUGAUAAGAUGCUUCAUACGAUCUGGGUGGACAUCGGGAUCUUUCACACGUGCGCGUAUGUGCUGUUCCCCUUUUUUUUCGUUGCCUACUUCUUCAAGGCGUGAGCAGAUCGCGGGGGUGGAAACCACAACUCUCUGUUAGGUGGCGGGACGCGAGUGUGUCACAUGAUUUAUCGGAAGAAAAAGUAGUUUCUGUCAUCGAUCCUCUCUUCUACACUUACUACUUUUUUUCUUUUGCUUCGAGCAUUCUAGUGCACUGAUAGCUUCUCUGUAGGAAACGAAACUAGAAGUAUCAUUAUUCUCUUGAAAGGGCCCAGGCGUACGGCUUGCGAGGCAUGCUUGCUCAUGCAACGUACUAUUACAUCUCAAUGCGCAGUCGGGCAGCCAAGACGUGGCCGUUACUCCACGCCGCUGGAGUACUUCUGCCAGAUGCCACGUGCCGUCUCACAAUACUUCCAGCCAUCUCCGGCACACCAUCUCUCUACUCCUCCACUUUUCAUCAACAAAAAG